ensembl:lncRNA
AUAAACAAUUUGUUUUAGCUGUCUGGAUCACCAUACUGCCUUAUCCAAGUACCUGGCUCAGUUUCCUGGAUCUCUUCUUGGCGUGUUGUUGACAAAUGGGUGGUCUAUCUUACUUGUAUACACCUUAACACCACGGAAAGGAUCCACAGCUAAACCAUAGAGUCAGUGAACUGUGCGCAGAUGGAGAACUGAGAUGGUUUGUUGUUUUAGUGGAAGUUCCUGAGAAAGAUUGGCCACCCACUUAAUUGCAAUCCAAUGAUAUCCAAUCCUUGGUCAAAGCUAGCUUUGCAAAACUCAUUUUGCUCCUUGUUAUGAACGGUUUAAUUAAAUUAAUGGAAGUUUUGUAUUUAUUCAGGCUGGAAAGUGGGCAGAGUUGCCUCACACAUCAGGCAGGAAUGAAAGCCAGUAGCAAAAAUCUCAGUGCAUAAGCAAACUCAAAGCUCCCACAACAGAUAUUUUAGAGGCAGUCCCAGGCUGUUGAAUUGCUUCGGUACAACAAUUUUCUAUAAUUGAUAAUUAACAUGAAGGAAAUUACACUGACAUGUCUCUGAGACACUUUUAAAAUUUGCCUUUGGGGACAUGGAAUGUGGUCAGAGGAAGCACGUUGUAAAUUCAUCUUCAUUUUAAAGAAUCUGCUGCCAGGAAGACAAUUUUUGCAGCAUUUCAAGUGAGGAAAAUGGAAACGUAGGGAAUGAGUUUUAGGGACAAAGUGUCUUGUCUUGCAAGUGAAUUUUGCAAAAUCCUUUUGCUGAGGCCUUGUAUUUGCAAGACAAUUAUUCUCAUCAUUUGCUAUGAGGAAAUGAAGAAAGCUUUAAAAAUGGAAGACAAAUGUGGCUUAAAAUCACAUUCUGACCCCAUUUUCAUGCCACUUGUCUCCCAGAAUGUUCAAGAUAGCAGCAAGUACUUCCAAAAUAGUUCAACACGCAGGACAUUACCUGCUUUUGGAAGGGAAAAAAUGCACUUAGCAGAGGCAAACCUUUAUUUAAUUAACCGCAGUGUAAAGGUUUCUUGUAUUCCUUUGCAGUUACACAGCCAUGAGAGACUGUGGAGUACCUGAAGGGUAACUCCUACUGGGACUAAUUCAGUCCAGACAGCUUCAAGUAUGUUCAUUAAGCUCUGGCUGGGUUUCACACAGGUGGGGAAGGUUAGAAGGCAACAGAUAGAGAAUGGUACUGAUUGUGUUAAGCAUAAAACACCAUCUGUUUCAUAAGUAAGACGGGAACAAAAUCUGCACGUCUUGAGGGAUACUAUCCCGCUGCUAGAAGUCAGUGCUCUUUUUUAUUUAUUUUUUAUUUUCUUGCUACAUUUUCAAGCUUCAGCAUAAAGCAGUUAGAACGUAGAAAUGGUCAGCUCAUAAAUCAGGGGGCUGUUGAAAAGAUGCUGAAGUUUAAAUUACCACAGGGCCUCUUGGACCUGUAACAUGUCAGGAAAAGAGGGAAUUUUAAAUGAGUAUUGUGGUUGGCAUGAGAGAAGAUAGAAUGAAUUUCAGUUCCCAAUGUUUUUAAAUAGAGGAGUACACGCUUAAAUAUCAACAAAUGUGAUGGUGAAAAUGUUCUUCCUUGACUAUUGCUUUCUUCUCAAUUUCAAAUGACCAAGUGGAAAAAAAAAAAGGUUUUGGAAUGGCACAGUCAAUAGGACAGCAUAUUAACUUCUUUGUUAUCGAAUCAGAAAACUUUCUUGAGGGUUGCUGGUUAUGAAGAAGCAUUACAAGCAAAGAUACAUGGCUGAAUGCCAAUGUGACUAAGCUGCAGAGCUAUGUGGAUGCUGUGGGCCCUGCACAUGGCCGCAAGGGGAAAGGGGCAAUGCUCCUCUGUGCUGUAUAUGCAGAAAAUUCUGCAUGGGAAAAGCUGUGGGUGGGAGCAGAUAGCUGCAAACUUCUGAAAGAGAAGGUGUGUUGGAAUGUUAAAAUGAAAGACAAAGAUUUCAGAAGAUCUUGAAGACGAUGAUGUGCUCAGAAAUCAUCUGCCCAUAUGAAGUGCUUCUUCCUGAAUCCAAAGGCUGAAUGUAGGGCCCUGCUUGCUGACUCUCCCAAUGACUUUGCUGAGGUUUCCAUGCCCAACUCUUGUGAGAUGUACCAGCCGUGGGAGGCAGCGGUCCGCCCUCUGUUCCUGGUGAUGUCUGUGUCCACUGGAGACAAUGAGAUUACUCUAGACUGAAAUUGAAGCCUUCUGUCUUAUACAGCAGUGUUUUUAUUGAAACCGUAAAUCUGCAAAAUGUUUUGGAGUUGCCAAAGUGCUGUUUUUCAUUUAGGCUCCAACCAACGAAAACAAGUGCCGACUGUAUUGGGAAGUUUUAACUUCUGAGACUUUGCUUCUGUUUUAACUGGGAAUUGUAUUACAGUUUUUUGUUUGCUUGUUUGUUUGUUUUGGUUUUAAAUCUUUAUUUCAUUUGAAAUAGCAUGAAUUUUCUUGGGAAAAAAAGAAAAUCCUUCAGUCUGCCAGAAAAACCUUUUUCCUUUUUGGAAACUUCAUUUGCUCUUUUACAUAUGGAAUUUCUGAAAGAACUGUAUUCCUGCUGUUUUGAUCACAUCUCCAAAAUGGGAUCCAGCUCCCAGCUCUCCAUGAGCCUGCCAUGAGCAAGGCAGGAUUUGCCCUUUUGCUCCAUAAGAUGGCCUACGCAGACAGACCUGUUUGUUUAGCAGAGCAUUCCAACUAAAUGAUACCAACAACGUUAAGUAAUGAACUUUGCUAAUAGAUUUUGAUGAAUUUCAAAGGCCAAUUAAACCAAGAAGAGCACAAAGUAGCGUCGUAUAAAUAUUUAAUGUAAACUUAUGGAUUACACUGUUCUGGUGACUGCUGUCAGAGGCACUUUGAAACCACAUGUGGCUCGUGAUAGCAAGACAGAGCCAGUUGCAGCCAGAGAUGAGUUCAGACUCCUCUAAUAAACACCCCUCCUGGGAUCACUUUCAAGUGCUAAAAUUUUAUGAGUAGCUAAAAAAUGAGAGUUCUGCAGUCAACAAUAAGCAUCGUUGUAUUUCCUCUCUGCCCUAAUGAAAGUGAUGGAAUAUACAUUUUUAGUUGCAAAAACAAAGAUAACGUGGUUUUGAGAGACAAACGACAAGCAAAGCAAAAUGUUCUCAUGGAAAGGGAGCCUUUGUAGCCAGCAUUGGUCUCCAGAUGCUCUCAGAGCAAUGGGUUUGGAAGGAAGCUCAAUGUACCAGCUGCUGUCAGUGACGUGUGUCUGGGCUGGAGCUGCUGCUACUGGGCUCCAUGGUACACAAAUGGAUUGAUCUCUGCGUGUGCCAUGGGCGCUGGAGAGAACAACGUGUUCUGCCCUUGGGUUUGAUGAGCUGGUGCUGCUGGCAUGGCCAUGAAACCCCUGCGGUAAGUGCCUACUGGGCUGUGCUCAUCCUCCUUGAUUCGCUGCCCCCCUCUUCUCAUUUCAGCCAUCAGCCAUAGGGGUUGCUCUCAGGAUGGGGUAAUUUUGCUGGUUGUGCAAGGUGGGAUCCAUGCAGUGAGGUGAUCCAUGGGCAGGACUUUCUUUCCCUUGGAUUAAGUUGAAGCUAUCACACUGGUAGAAGUCAACAAAGCACAGGGAGAGAAGGGCAUGAAGAAACCGUAUGCCAAUUAGAAGAUGGUCUGAGUGACCCAUUUGCUCAACUAAAAUCAGUGGGAGAGGCAGUUUCUAGCACUCCCCACACAGCACAGUUUUCCAUCCAGAAAUGUAAGGCCACUGAAGCUGAGCCCCUUUUUCAAGCAGGGAUGCUGAGGGCAGAGGUGCAGAAGAAGCUGUCAGCAUGGCUCCUGCCUGCUGACUCCCAUUGCAUCCUCCCUCAUCACACAGGGAACGUGGCCAGGAGCAGGUUUCCUGCAUGGAAGUCAGGGCUGUGUCUGGUGUGGCUCCCUAAUGGAAUUUGGAUUCAUGCAGCCAGUAACGAGCACUUGAGGACAGCAUCUCUGCAUCUAUUAGUCCUCCCUUGGUAAGAAAGAACUAUAAUUUGGUUCCCAGAUCUCUCUCUUCAUGAUAGAUUGAGGAGAACAAAACCAAACCAAAUCCAACCUAUAUCACAAGUCUCUGUUGUCACAGGCAGCUUUUCCCAGGCUCACCUCAGCGUUUCAUGAGUGGCAAUGUCUUAGCAUAGAAUCACAGAAUCAUCAGAGUUGGAAGGGACCCUUAAAGGCCAUCCAGUCCAGCUCCCCUGCAGUGAACAGGAACACCCACAGCUCUGCCAGGUUGCCCUAAUAUUAAUAUAAUAAUAAAAUAAUAAAAGGUAAAAAUGGCAAUUUGCAGGUAAAAAGACCCCUAAGCACUCGCAACAAUGGCAAC